GCAGAUCGCACGGCCCCCGAGCCGGCGACGCAUCUUUCAAAUGUCUGCCUUAUCAACUGUCGAUGGUAGGUUCUGCGCCUACCAUGGUUGUAACGGGUAACGGGGAAUCAGGGUUCGAUUCCGGAGAGGGAGCCUGAGAAACGGCUACCACAUCCAAGGAAGGCAGCAGGCGCGCAAAUUACCCACUCCCGGCACGGGGAGGUAGUGACGAAAAAUAACGAUACGGGACUCAUCCGAGGCCCCGUAAUCGGAAUGAGUACACUUUAAAUCCUUUAACGAGUAUCCAUUGGAGGGCAAGUCUGGUGCCAGCAGCCGCGGUAAUUCCAGCUCCAAUAGCGUAUAUUAAAGUUGUUGCGGUUAAAAAGCUCGUAGUCGGACUUGUGUCCCACGCUGCCGGUUCACCGCCCGUCGGUGUUUAACUGGCAUGCACGUGCGGACGUCCUGCCGGUGGCCCGAGCCGGCGCGGGUCUCGUACUCGUCGUCCGGGGAAGGCCUAUCAUACCCGUCGCGGUGCUCUUAACCGAGUGUCUCGAUGGGCCGGCACGUUUACUUUGAACAAAUUAGAGUGCUUAAAGCAGGCAGCAUCCGCCUGAAUACCGAGUGCAUGGAAUAAUGGAAUAGGACCUCGGUUCUAUUUUGUUGGUUUUCGGAAUCCCCGAGGUAAUGAUCAAUAGGGACAGACGGGGGCAUUCGUAUUGCGACGUUAGAGGUGAAAUUCUUGGAUCGUCGCAAGACGGACCGAAGCGAAAGCAUUUGCCAAGAAUGUUUUCUCUGAUCAAGAACGAAAGUUAGAGGUUCGAAGGCGAUCAGAUACCGCCCUAGUUCUAACCAUAAACGAUGCCAGCCAGCAAUCCGCCGAAGUUCCUCCGAUGACUCGGCGGGCGGCUUCCGGGAAACCAAAGCUUUUGGGUUCCGGGGGAAGUAUGGUUGCAAAGCUGAAACUUAAAGGAAUUGACGGAAGGGCACCACCAGGAGUGGAGCCUGCGGCUUAAUUUGACUCAACACGGGAAACCUCACCAGGCCCGGACACCGGGAGGAUUGACAGAUUGAGAGCUCUUUCUUGAUUCGGUGGGUGGUGGUGCAUGGCC
rnacentral:rRNA from 1 species